AUUGAACGCUGGCGGCAUGCUUUACACAUGCAAGUCGAACGGUAACAGGCCGCAAGGUGCUGACGAGUGGCGAACGGGUGAGUAAUGCAUCGGAACGUGCCCAGUCGUGGGGGAUAACGCAGCGAAAGCUGCGCUAAUACCGCAUACGAGCUAUGGAUGAAAGCGGGGGACCGUAAGGCCUCGCGCGAUUGGAGCGGCCGAUGUCAGAUUAGGUAGUUGGUGGGGUAAAGGCUCACCAAGCCAACGAUCUGUAGCUGGUCUGAGAGGACGACCAGCCACACUGGGACUGAGACACGGCCCAGACUCCUACGGGAGGCAGCAGUGGGGAAUUUUGGACAAUGGGCGCAAGCCUGAUCCAGCAAUGCUGCGUGCAGGAAGAAGGCCUUCGGGUUGUAAACUGCUUUUGUACGGAACGAAACGGCUCUGGUUAAUACCUGGGGCUAAUGACGGUACCGUAAGAAUAAGCACCGGCUAACUACGUGCCAGCCGCCGCAGUAAAAC
rnacentral:rRNA from 1 species